rnacentral:rRNA from 1 species
ACGGGGGGAGCAAGCGUUGUUCGGAUUUACUGGGCGUAAAGGGCGCGUAGGCGGCCUGAUAAGGGUGUGGUGAAAGUCCGGGGCUCAACCCCGGAUCUGCCGUGCCGACUGUUAGGCUAGAGUACUGUAGGGGCAGGCGGAAUUCCGGGUGUAGCGGUGGAAUGCGUAGAGAUCCGGAGGAAGACCGGUGGCGAAGGCGGCCUGCUGGGCAGUUACUGACACUGAGGCGCGACAGCGUGGGGAGCAAACAGGA